AGGCGUUAUUCGGUAACCUUCCAAUAGCGAACGCCUGCUUAAUGAAUAUUAAUUAGAUAUGCGCGUAUUUGCUGUGUUACCUUCCAAUAGCGAAAGUUUGCGUUAUGAAUAUUAAAAACCCAGGUUUACCGUAGUAGGAUGCAAAAAUUUGCAGUGGGGCCUCUUGAAGAGUACUGUGGGGGAGGGUCACGUGACGUGUGUACACACUGUAGAGUUCAGCACCACUCGAUUCGUAGUAAGAUCAUCAGCGUCCUCCCCUUGCCAGCACGGACCAGAGACGAAUAUACCAUCUGUAACUGUGUUUACGCUACAUAUCGGCGCCUUGAUCGAUCGCAUUUUUACUUCAUUUUUGACGAAGUCCUGGUAGUCCAGCUACUGAUUUGGGAGCUUUUGUCAAAGUAUCCGAGGAGAAAUGUCAGUGGAAAUACAGCAGAACCCGAUGCCUCCGUAGCGCUGUCUCAGUACCAAGAACUGGUCCUCUGGACAUGCUUUCUAGAGACAGGUGGAUGAGGCGACCUCCUCCACUAAAUUGCUGAAGUUUUACCCAGAAGUCCACACCUGCAUGAAAGUUCAACAUCCUGUUAGUAUGUCCCACCCAAAGAGAAGGCAAGCGACCACGACAGCUUUGUUUUUAGUGAUGCUGAAACGACCCGUGUUUUUUUUCUUAAUGGAACCUCUCAUCAUUCCAUUGGCCUCAAAACAUGACGUCACAGUUUCCUUAAUCUGAAAGACUCCAACGGCAAACAGGCAAGAGGUUUGCACAACAGGUUUUAAAUCCCACGUAUUGGAUAACACAUCCCGAAUAAUAUUCUAACUCCGGACAUGAGCUCAAUUUACCCCUAAGAAGCCAGGGUCUCUAAUGUUCUCUGGUCUUGUUUCAAAGUAAACUUGGGUUGAGCUUAAAAAGUAAUUGUUUUGCAGACCCCAGCUUAAAUUGGCCACACUAGACCACCGAGGUUGCACAUUUGAGUUGUCUCUUAAACUUUUUGCUGUUUGACUUGGCUCUUGCCCAGAUCUCUUACAAAAAUUAGGACAACGAUUCCUUUUGGAAGUUCAGGGUCACAUCAGGCAAUCAAACUCAUUCAGUUUAAUACAUUAUGGUGAAACAAAAUACUGUAUUCAUAUAUAAAAAUACAAUGGCAGCCUGACUAAAAUAUUUAAAACUAUCAAAUGGGUGACCCCUUUUCUAUCUUUAUGACAUUAUAAAAAUGGGUCAAGAGCUUUGUAUUUACAUGUCUGGUUUACCAGCGCUAUUCUAUCCUCGAUAAGCGCGGGGAAAUGGGAUGGGUCAAUUCAGUCAUGGGACCCAGAUUUACCACUCUUUAGAUAAUGUUAUCAUUUUUCCACCAGAAAUAUCUAUGAUUGGCACAUUGAAUGCCUUAGGCGAUUACACGCUCCCUUCCUCCUUUUGCACCACCAAAAUGAUCUGGCACGAACUGGAUGCUUUGAUAAAUCAGACCCGAUGUGGAAAGACAGUCCAGCUUUGCUGGAGAGGCCCAGACUACAGCAGAUGGCUGAAACCCAAUCCUCUAUGCUCUCUGUAUUUUUCCUCUUUGCAAAUGUACCAGAGAUUUGGAAAUACAACAACAAUGAAAUCUUGGUGUCAGAAUAAACAUCUAAGAACUUGACCAUGGGAACCACACAGGGGAGAGUGCCCAGGUUGGCCGUGUUUGACGCUGUGGUUGUGUAGUUGGAAGGCAGGGAGUGCAUGUCUUUUUAAAGUGAGAAUGUCCCUUGUGUCUUUCUAUUCAAUGAGACAAGAGUGUCUCCACCAGACCACAGAAAUGGAGCUCUAGAAGAUAUCAUCCUGACACAGUUUCUUUCUGUUAAGUGUUAUUUCCAAAAACACUUUGACAUAGUAAACAUAUUUCAUGUUUGCUCUCAUAGCUCAAUUAAUGGUUCAGUAUAUCGUGACCUAAAUGUUUACAUGUUUCAUAAUAAUUUUCCAGUCAUCCAACCUUGAAAAUAUCCAUACAUUUUACAUGUAUCUCUAUUAAUGCAUUAACACUCUCAGAUUAUAUGAACUACUUUCUUUGUGAACAUCAAUGAAACAUGCAGUUAAUAAAAACAAAUAAAUACAUAUAAAUACAAUUUCAUACAGAUGUCCAUUUGUUCUUCUUCCAUUUAAACUCAAUAUGCUGUCUGAAUCAUCCCAAAACAUGCUGGAUAACAUGAUCAUUGGGUUUUAUACAAAUAUGUUGAGUUCAUGCAGCUCAAGUGCUGCCGUUAUUACAGUUUUCUCAGUUGCUUUAGUACAUUUCUUUAAUCAUACUUGACAUUUGCAAAACAGUAAGUGCAUUUCUCAAAACAACUCGUGCAAAUAGCAAAACACCAUGCAUUACCUGCAAAAGCCAGUCUCUUGCUCAAAAUCAUUUGUUCAUCUCUCAAAAAUAAAUAUCUGUGUCAAUGAACAUGUCAGUGCCAUCAGAAUGACAAGUCCUUGUGUCACUGUGUACGGAUAAGACAGUCAAUUUGCUUAGUCAUGCUGUCAAUAUAACAGUGUACUCUGGAGGGAUGUUCUGAUGUAAACUUUGGCAACAUUUUGGGUGACAGUUACUGUAUUGAACAGUAUGCCAUAUGCUUAUGUAUGCCAUAUAUCCAUUUCAAAAGUACAAAUUUACACAUUACUGUAUGUGGGGUAUUGAUUGAAAGAGACUGGAUAGAAUUCCCAGUUACACUUUUACUAGUGGUCUGACGAAAAAAAUAAAAUAUAAAUAAAUAAAUAAACAUUUACAAUGUCAUUAUGAUAUAGAAAAGGAAAAAUGAAAUAUGGGCACAAAGAUGAAAAUAAAAAAUAAGUCCACUGUCAGAAAUUGUAACUCUUGUGUUGUCCUCUGUCUAUACAGUAUAUGUUUUCCAACUGAAGAUUCAUGAGAUGAAACUUUGAGCUAUUUCAGAGAAAUGGUUUAUCAUUGGUUGAUCUACAUUCUCUUCAUUAGUCAAGAUUCACUUGCACAAUUCAUGCCAGAUUUACUUGGGUUGGCAGUUUAUGACAACUAGAUGAACCAUUUUUCAUUUAAUGACUUAUAGGAUGAACUAAAGACUAGAUGUUUUGAGGGGUAAGACUACUGCACAGAAAACUAUAUAAUACAUGGUGAGCAACAUGACAUUAGCAACUGAUAAUGUAGGAAACCACAGAUAAAUGUGCAUAAUAAAUUUCAUGAAUGUACAAAAGCAAUCGCAACUUGUUCAAAAGAAUGAGAAAUUGGUUUUAUGAUGUGUAUAAAUUACUAGAUGAUGUGGAAGUUGUACAAGUAGUUUUGAGAAUUUCAUUUCUGAUUUGAGAAAUGCACCAAAGUGACUGAGAAAAACUGUAAAGCAAAAAUUUAAUAAUCCAAAGACAUCCUGAAAUUGAUGUUAUUUUUUUUCACUGAAAUUGUCAUAUAAUAUAAUAUAAUAUAA
ensembl:lncRNA